AUCCAGCUGACAUGUCCCAAACAGGACGAAAUGCGAAUCUUGGAU
rnacentral:hammerhead_ribozyme from 1 species